rnacentral:sRNA from 1 species
GAUCAGACGUGCAGGGAAAAUCUAGUUCCUUUUGUAACUAACCUGACUUUACAAGCCUCACCCCAAUGGGAGAAAAACACAACUAAAUGCUCAAUCCAUUGUAAAGAUUAGCAUGAGCUGACGAUUUUAAGAGUCCACAAGUGGUUCAGCUCAGCCUCGCCCCCGAGGACAGUGUCAGUGUGACCACAGUGACCGUGGGGCUGAGCACAGUGCUGACCUGUGCCGUCCGUGGAGACCUGAGACCACCAAUCAUCUGGAAGCGCAACGGGCUCACCCUGAACUUCCUGGACUUGGAAGACAUCAAUGACUUUGGAGAGGAUGAUUCCCUGUACAUCACCAAGGUGACCACCAUCCACAUGGGCAAUUACACGUGCCAUGCUUCCGGCCACGAGCAGCUGUUCCAGACCCACGUCCUGCAGGUGAAUGUGCCGCCAGUCAUCCGUGUCUAUCCAGAGAGCCAGGCACAGGAGCCCGGAGUGGCGGCCAGCCUGAGAUGCCAUGCUGAGGGCAUUCCCAUGCCCAGAAUCACUUGGCUGAAAAACGGCGUGGAUGUCUCAACUCAGAUGUCUAAACAGCUUUCCCUUUUAGCCAAUGGGAGCGAACUCCACAUCAGCAGUGUUCGGUAUGAAGACACAGGGGCAUACACCUGCAUUGCCAAAAAUGAAGUGGGUGUGGAUGAAGAUAUCUCCUCGCUCUUCAUUGAAGACUCAGCUAGAAAGACCCGCCUCAGCGUGGGAAACAUGUUCUAUGUCUUCUCCGACGACGGCAUCAUCGUCAUCCAUCCUGUGGACUGUGAAAUCCAGAGGCACCUCAAACC